AGUCCAUGGUGAGAACACCUUCUCAACAAAUCCUUAAAUCUCUCUCAUGUAUCAUAAAGAGUCUCAAUAUCAUUUUGAACAAAAGAAAAGAUAUCAUUCUUGAACUU
rfam:Gossypium arboreum cultivar AKA8401 contig_28976_3, whole genome shotgun sequence.